UACGGAGGAUGCGAGCGUUAUCCGGAUUUAUUGGGUUUAAAGGGUGCGUAGGCGGACUGUCAAGUCAGCGGUAAAAUUGAGAGGCUCAACCUCUUCCCGCCGUUGAAACUGCUGGUCUUGAGUGGAUGAGAAGUACGCGGAAUGCGUGGUGUAGCGGUGAAAUGCAUAGAUAUCACGCAGAACUCCGAUUGCGAAGGCAGCGUACCGGCAUCCAACUGACGCUGAGGCACGAAAGCGUGGGGAUCAAACAGG
rnacentral:rRNA from 1 species